rnacentral:lncRNA from 1 species
UAAUUUUCUCUCUAGGAGAAUUUCUCUUUGCUCUCUUUCUCUUCACACACUCACCCUCUUUCUUCCUUCCCUUCAUCUUCUCUCAUUUCAUCUCACAUUACAAGCAAAUAGAAUGCCUAUUUAUAGGCAAAGCAAAUGGCUUGGUUUGGUGGGUGUGUGAUUUGGUUUGGUAGGUAUGAGGUUUGGUUUGAUGGGUGUGUGGUUUGAUUUGGUGGGUGUGUGGUUUGAUUUUGUGUUCAACUUGAAUGUUAGAGCAUGUGUUGAACUUGAAUGUUAGUUUGCAAUGUGGGCUUCACCCAUUUUACAACACUCCCCCUUGGAGACCACAUGUCCCUAGAUUGGUUGCCUCAUUAAAACCUUGCUUGGAGAAAACCUAGUGAGGUAGAAAACUGAUGGAAGGAAGAAAGAAGAGUAUAACAAUCUGUAUAGCAUACUUCUGGAUGCUCCCCCUGAUUAAUAUCUCCCCCUGAUGUCUUUAUGACUCUCUUUUGGAGUGAGAAUCUUUUGGAGUGAGUGGAGGAUGUAGCCAUUAAUAAUUCUCGUAGUUGAGUAAGUAAAUAUAUUUCCAGUGAGCUAUCUCUAUGUGAAUCAUAAAAUUUUUCAGAGUCCGCGUUUCCAGCAAAACUUGGGCUAUUUGUAAGUUCACUUGAAAGAAUAUGCCCGUACAUAGUGUUAUGCGGAAAUAGCAUCAAAUAU